CGGUGCAACCAUACCAGCACUAGUGCUCCGUAUCCCAUAAGAACUCCGCAGUUAAGCGUGCUUGGGCGAGAGUAGUACUGGGAUGGGUGACCUCCUAAAAAGUUCUCGUGUUGCACCCU